rnacentral:rRNA from 1 species
AUGGCGGAGCAACCGUCCGCCAAACGUCACCAUGGCAACACUUCAAACAAGAGCAACAACCUCGCCGACGUUCACGUCCCCGGCGAGAAGCACGAGUACACCAAAACGCUCAAAGGGGUUGAGCUCCACGGCAAAGGGACACUGGAGAUCGUCUGCACCAGCGAACCAGACAAGGCUGACCAGAUGAUGAGCAGGCUCAGGAUGAAGGGCGGCGGCUUUUUCUCAAAACUAAAUUUUGAACUUGAUAUAGAAUUAAUGCACAAAGAUGUAUCAAGCACUGGCCCAAGCGCCUCAGUCUUCCUGCAGGAGGAGAAAUUGUACACAUUUGUUGGUUUCAGCAUUGGAGGUGACAAGCAGAAGCUGGGGGAGUCUGGUUUGGAAAUCAACCCCAACAACUUCAUCGACAUGCAGCGCAAGUGGAAAGAUCCAAAGACCGACAAAUACUACGACUCCUUGGCCGAUGUUGCAGGCGGCGUCAUCCACCAUUCUACGAACGCAUGA